UACGGGGGGGGCAAGCGUUGUUCGGAAUUAUUGGGCGUAAAGCGCGCGUAGGCGGUCCUUUAAGUCCGCGGUGAAAGACCGGGGCUCAACCCCGGAGUGUCCGCGGAGACUGGGGGACUGGAGUAUCGGAGAGGAGUGCGGAAUUCCUGGUGUAGCGGUGGAAUGCGUAGAUAUCGAGAGGAACACCUGCGGCGAAGGCGGGUUGCUGGGCUGACACUGACGCUGAGGCGCGAAAGCUAGGGGAGCGAACGGG
rnacentral:rRNA from 1 species